rnacentral:rRNA from 1 species
UACGUAGGAUGCGAGCGUUGUCCGGAAUUAUUGGGCGUAAAGAGAACGUAGGCGGUUUCUUAAGUUCGAUCUUAAAGACCGGGGCUCAACCCCGGGAAUGGAUUGAAAACUGGGAGACUGGAGGACGUCAGAGGAAAGUGGAAUUCCCAGUGUAGCGGUGAAAUGCGUAGAUAUUGGGAGGAACACCAGUGGCGAAAGCGACUUUCUGGGACGUUCCUGACGCUGAGGUUCGAAAGCUCGGGGAGCAAACAGG